AACGCACAUUGCGCCCCUUGGUAUUCCGAGGGGCAUGCCUGUUCGAGCGUCAUUACAACCCUCAAGCGCUGCUUGGUAUUGGGCUCCGCUGGUUUGAGCGGGCCUUAAAGUCAGUGGCAGCGCCGUCUGAGCUCUGAGCGUAGUAAAUCUCCUCGCUAUAGAGACCAGGUGGUCCCUCGCCAUCAACCCCCCCAACUUCCUAAGUUUGACCUCGGAUCAGGUAGGGAUACCCGCUGAACUUAA
rnacentral:misc_RNA from 1 species